rnacentral:lncRNA from 1 species
CAGAUUGUUAAUAAAAGUUAGGAAUUGGCAAAGUAAAGAUUAAGAUGGAAUAGCGGGCAGCUCCUUCAGGAACUCCGAAAAUGAUGGUUCUUUAUAGUUUCUCCUAGAGAAUUUGAGGUUAGAAUAUGUAGUGUUGAUUCCAUGAGGUGCUACGGCAUCGUAGAGUCUCAAAGUGAAACUCUUCGGGCUCCGGUGUUCAUGCGAAAAACAAAGAAAGAAUAAAACAGUUAGAGAAGAACAUAUGCUUCUUAACAGACAUGAAAGUCAGAGAGGAAAUAUAGAUCUUUCCAACUUGUAUUAAAACAAAUAUGCUCACAUGCCAUGGUGACCAAAAUAUAAAGAAUCACCUCCUACUAACAGGAAAUAGCUUCUUAAGUAAUAUUUAAAGUUAAGAUGUAAAUUUAUCUUCUAUUGAGUAUUAUCCUAAAAUGUCUAAAUUAAAUGGGCGGACAAGGAUAUAUUCUACAGUUUCUAAGGCCACUUUUAAAUUAUUAACCGAAGGAUGUCAACAACAAAAAAGACUUGCAAGUUCUCAUCAGUAGCAUUCACUUCGUUAGCAAGAGUCUAUUUAAAAUGAGAUAUUAAAUUCAUUUGUUUUGGUUUCUAAGUGUUAAAAGAGGGUCGCAGAAAACUUGUUACCACAUCUACAUAGAAAAAGAAACAGAGAGCUAACACAUACCCAUAACUAGCCAACGCCUACUUUGAACAAAGUUUGUAAAAGGAAGUUAAUGGCAUGCUAUUUUGAGUUAUCAAAACCAAGAAAAUGUAGAGUCGUGUAUUUUGUUAUUUAGAGAUACAAUAGAUCAGCUUAAAUGUCUUAACAGAUUAUACCCUUUUUAUAUCCAUUAUCUAAGCAAGUGAAACAGUGGUCAGCUCCUAUUAGUACUACUGACAGCAGAAACCAAAAUCAUGUGCUUCUAAACAAACUUGGAACAUGGUCAGUUAACAUCCUAGAGAAGUACUUAAACUAAGCAUGAAUAUUAUUAUCACCCACUGUCGUCAUCUCUAUAAUUACCAAAAUAACCCACAGGCUAUGCUUUCUACCAUUAUUUUACACUUCAAGAAUAUAGUUUUAAAAGUAUUUUAGAACAGAUGGUUGUUAAGACAUGAAAUCCUAAAGAACAUGGUUUAUAAUACAUUUGAACAACAUCACUUCUUCGAAUAGCCAAGAAAACAAUAGCAAAUAGCAUGGUUUGGUCAAUAAAGUUUAACACAGCCAAUUUGAAUACAACUAGACUUAAAACAUGGAUUCUUCACAUAACUUUACUAUUAAAAAAAAUGUCAUCUGUACAUUACACUACAACAAACAAACGUAAACCUAAGAUAUGUUUUUUUUUAAGAGCAAAUACAAUUUCCUUGAGGGAAAGAUCAGAAUAAAAAAAAAAGUCAGAUUUUACCUGUUGUGGGGCAGUGAACUAGGACGAUGUUGGCCUCGAAUCUACUCUCUCGUUGUGCAAAAGAUUCGAACCUCGAUCGGAAUGAGUUCCAACAUAUCUGUCACAGCUAAAGUUGACCGAGACAGAAAAGAAAGUUUUGUAAGAGAGUCUUGAGUAUUUGAGACUAUAUCAGAUGUGAGUGAUAAAGUAGUGUUCAAGAGGCGGCUGAUUCUUAUGUCUAGUGUAGAUGUAGGCGGCUGAAUCUUGAAGUUCAAAAAUGGUGGCCGCCCUCCAAAAAAGUUCCCCUCUCACUUGUGGAAAACAGUAGCAUUUAUAGGGAAAAAGUCUAGGGUUAGAGAUUAAGUUUGAAAUUCAAAAUUAUUCAAAGGGGUGUCACGGGUAAAGCUUCUGAAUAUGUCCGUUUGAGAAUUCAAAGUAUGAAAAUGGCAACAAAGUACAAAGAAAUCGAGAUAGCCAGAGGUAAAUCCUACCCAUGGAGUGCAACCUCGCUAUUGUUGGGAGAAGAGUUUUGGAUUCUUUUGAAGAAAUUUGACCAAAUCCUUUGCUUGCUUCAGAGUGGCAGAGAUUUGUCCUUGCUAUUUUACAAAAGAGUUAAGAUUUGGCUUGACUAUUUUCUGUUGGCAUGUCCUACUUGCUCGAAAAAGGAGACCACAUGUGAGAGAGAUGGGAUUUGUAUCAAAAUGGAGUGAAAAGCUCUGGAUUUCAAGAGAUGAUG